UCUACGGGAGGCAGCAGUGGGGAAUAUUGCACAAUGGGCGAAAGCCUGAUGCAGCGACGCCGCGUGAGGGAUGACGGCCUUCGGGUUGUAAACCUCUUUCAGCAGGGACGAAGCGCAAGUGACGGUACCUGCAGAAGAAGCACCGGCUAACUACGUGCCAGCAGCCGCGGUAAUA
rnacentral:rRNA from 1 species